AUUUUAAAUUCCAAGAUGUUGCGUUGUGUUAAACAAAACCCAUUCUAUGUUUAAGGUCCAGUGUAAAAGAUAAUUACAAUAAAUACAAACAGGUGAAUAAUAUCAACUUACGUUUAUUUAAGGUAGGAAUAUAUUACGAUUACAAAACAUAAAAAGAGAGUCAUGACCUCACUAAACAUUACAAUAAAACGUGGUGGCUGGUUCAAUUAAAGAACUAAUGUGAAAACAACCGAAAAGGAUGACAUACCCUUCUUUAACAUAUUAAUGAUCCUUCAUAUAUUUGAGUUUGGUUAGAGUACUUAAUAGCGAACGGCGAAGGAGAAUAUUAUGAUCUCAAGGAAAACUUGGGAGAGUAUCUGAAAUUAGAAAAAAAA